rnacentral:lncRNA from 1 species
GAAAUAAUUGUGCCAUGGUUAAGUUUUCGGUAUAAUAAUUUUACUAUGUAUGAUGCUAAAUUGUUGUUACUAUAUUUAAAAUUCUUAUUACUAAUAUUUCAAGAAUAUUAACUUCCAACAUGUACUAUUUUUCAAUAAAUAUAAAAUAUUAUUUAAUAGAUUUUUGUAAAUAUAAAAUAUUUAUUUACUAGGUUUAAUUUUUAGACUACGUGCCAAAUGCACAUGACUCGUACGUGGAUUAUGAAUAAUUUAAUAGUAAUUCAAUCCCACCUCCGC